AUACGUAGGUGGCAAGCGUUAUUCGGAUUUAUUGGGCGUAAAGGGUCCGUAGGGGGUUAGUUAAGUCUGGUGUGAAAGCCCGCUGCUCAACCGCGGAACUGCACUGGAAACUGGCAAACUAGAGCAUCGGAGAGGAUGGCGGAAUUCCCGGUGUAGGGGUGAAAUCCGUAGAUAUCGGGAGGAACACCAGUGGCGAAGGCGGCUCACUGGCCCAUUACUGACGCUGAGGUACGAAAGCGUGGGGAGCAAACAGGAUUAGAUACCCUAGUAGUCC
rnacentral:rRNA from 1 species